CAGGGCACCACUGGAGACCCUGCCCUGGCCCACAGCCCACACAGCAGAGAGAGAGAGCGCCAGGGGCCACAGCCACCGCAUGGCCGGACACACAGGAAGCAGCUGCCCAAGGAGAGCAGGCCACGGGCUGGCCAGGCCCUCUGCUGGUCACAAAGAAGUCUUUGCUGUCCUCCAAGUCCUCCCUUGCAGGCCCAGGACCAUGGCAAGUUGGACUGGGGCGCCUUCAGAGGGCACCUGCUCAGGCCAGCAUGGGAUCACAGCUGCCCAUCGAUGCAGCGGGGCGAUGAGAACUAGGUGUAGCUCUCCUGUCUGAUUCUACCUGAUUUUAAGGCAGCUCCAAUCUGUGAAACUGACCAAAACAAUCACCAAAUUCCUUGAACAUUUAGCAGGUCCUAGCACUCAGCUGGUUUCUCGCUGACUCCUCGUGAUGUUCUAUGGCAUAAAUGCUAUUGGAAUCCACUUUUCAGACUUGAAAUAUGAGGUUUGUAGAGGCCGUCACUAGCACCACAAAAAUAAAAACAAAAAAGUCCACUAUACUCUGAGCCAGACACAAGAUGGAUAAUAUGUAUUUACUGAAUAUCUGCUGUGCUUUAUUUCUGCUGUUGUUGUUUUUGUUGUUUGAGACAGUAUCUCAGUAUAUAGUUCAGGCUGGCCUCAAACUCAUGGGGAUCCCUCUGCUUCAGCCUGCUAAGUGCUGGGAUCACAGGCAUGAGCCACCAUGUCCCUUGCUGUGCUUUAGACACAGGGUACAGAAAUGCAAAUGAUGCCAGUCAUGAUGGAAUACACUUAGAGUCCCAGGUUGAGACAGGAGGAGAAAGGUAAAUUUGACCCCAACCUGCGCAACUUAGCAGGACCCCACCUCCAUCUCAACAUUAAGAACAACAAAACAAGUAAAGGACCAAGGAUGUGGCUCAGUGCAAAGGCCCUGGCCUCACUCCUAGAACAACAACAAAACAAGAAACUUCUGCUGCUAAGGAGUUUUUGGUCCAGCGGGGAAAAUAACUAACUAUGCAAAUAAAUAAUUACAACUUGAUGCUGUGACAGGCAAGUGUCACAAUGCCAAGGAAGCUGGCGCAGCGGGGCGGGUGUGGGGGGAGUCCUGGGAGACCUCCAGAGCAGGGGACAUCUGAAUGGAGCCUGACACCUGCUAUGGUUGCCUAACAGACUCUGGGGAGAGGGAUGAUGUCCCAGGCAGAAGAUGCCACAGACUCAAGGUUCGGCAACACCAAUGUGGGGUGGGUGAUAUUCCUGAAAGCAGCAUGUGUCAUUUGGAGGAGAUUGGGGGGCAGGAGGAUUCAUGGAGAGGGCUUCUAUGUUCAUAUCAAGAGGUCUGUUCUGGAGGGGUAGGGAGGGACUUUGUAUGCCACACCUGGGCGCUGAGCCAUUACCUAAGGCAACAGAGAGGUUUCACAGGCUACUACACAGAGACGUCGCCUUUGCUUUGCAGAGGACCCAAUAGACAGCUGGGCCUCUGGAAGCAGGAGCAGGUGGAUGCGAAGGCAGGCAAAACCACAGGUUCCAGGAGAAACUGCAGUAUGGAAAGGCAGCAGAGAGGCCGGGGCAAGUCCCCCACUGCACAGCACAGGUGAGGAGUCCCAGCGAGCGGGGAUGCUGUGCACAUGUGGAGCUCUGCAGGGCAGGAGGGAAGCAGCUGCAGCCCAGGAGAAAGCCUGCAGCAGAUGGGCAACGUCAGCAGCACACUUGCAGCGCAGGCAGUGGGGACAGGGACAGGGCAGAGGAGACACAGGGGCCCCACAUCGCUCAGAGGAAAAUGGAAUAAAAGGAGUUCGGGAAGGGAGGCUAUGCUCCUGCUCCUUGCCCACCAGGGACACCUAUUUGUUUGACCAGGGCUGGAUGUCACUUACACAAUCAGCGUAAAUGUUAAGGAAGGUCUCCCAGGGUGGGGGACCCCCAACUUGGAAGCAGCUUUACUGCAAGACUUCCUGACCAGAAAACCUGACGCCCUACCCACAGGGGCCCUGAUAUGCCACAUGCUGCCUAUGGUGGGAUACGCUGUAAUCCCAGCGCUCUGGGAGGCUGAGGCAAGAGAAUCCCAAGUUCAAGCCCAACCUAGGCAAGUUAGUAACUUAGCAAGCCUGUCACAGAAUAAAAAAAUUUAAAAAGGGCUGGGGAUAUAGCUCAGUGUGAAGUCUCUGGGCUCAGUCCCCAGUAAACCUGUAAUUGUUGUUGCUUUGGGACCAGAGACAGAAGGAUUACCAUUUGAGGUCGAGCCUGAGCAACUUCUCAAGACCCUGUCUCAGAAAACAAAAUUUAAAGAGCUGGAGUGUAUACUCAUGGCAGAGCAUGUGUUUAGCAAGCACCAGGCUGUGAGUUCAAACCUCAGUGCUAUGAACUAACAAACAAAAUCGGGUCUCCAGGGAAAAAAAAAGGUGGUGUGGCGGUGGACAGCUGUAACCUUGGUGCUCAGGAAGCUGAGGCAGGAGGAUGAUGAGUUCUAGGCCAGCUUGGACUACAUAGUGAGACCUUGCCUGGGGUGAGGCAGCUCCAGCCAGGUCACCGUGGAGUCAGCAGGUCAGGCAAGUCCCCCACCCCUUGCUGUCUCAGCUGUCCCCUUUGCAGUCACCCACCAGACGCUCACAGUGGAGGAGGGCAGCGGGAGUCUCACUGCACUCUGAGCCUUAGGAAGGCUGGGGAAAGGCUGUGUCUUGAGCAUUCAGUGCUCAGUCCGUGCUCAGAACUGAUCCCCCUGACAACCAGCCUUCAUACCUGCCCCGGAGAGACCCUGCCUCCCCUCCUGUCCACACUCUCAGGGCCCAAGACUCCUCCCAUCCGAACCCACAUCCACUGCCUCGAGAUGUGGGCAUGCAGGUGAGCAGAUCCCCACUGCCCAAGCUGUUCCCUGCAUUCCCACCAGGUGCCAGCCUGUCACAAGCACUCUGAAUAAUUUGCUCUUCAUCUGUGGUUUGUCACUUGAGGUCAGAGAGGUAGUACAGUUUGCCUGAGGGUGCAAGGUUAGUGAGUGACAGCUGGCAUCCAGAUGCAGGUUUAUCAAACUCCAAAGCUACAACUCCUUUGUGUAUUUUACAGCAUUUCCUCUCUUCUUUCUCUUUCUUUCCUUCUUUCUCUAUUUACUUAGGCAGUCUUGGGGGACUGAACUCGGGGCCUUCACACUUAGGCAUGUCCCCAGCCCAUUUUUUUUUACUUUUAUUUUGAAAUAAGGUCUCACUUAUUAGCUCAAUUACCCAGACUGGGCUCAGACUUCCAAUCCCAACUCUUUUUAGUACCAAGAUCAAACUCAGAACCUCAUAUUUGCCAAGCAGGUGCUGUGCUACUGAGCUAUAUUCUCAGCCCAAUAUCCAAUUCUACUGAAGAACUCACUGAUAUGGGAAAGGCUCUUAGACAUGUACCAAUGCUCUUAUUUCCAAAGUCAAAUACCAGGUGUUCCUAGGUCUCUCUCUACUGCGGAUACUCAGGGCUCCCGGCCACUGCCAACGUGGCACAGACCCUACUACAGGCCUGGCAUCCGGGGAAGCAACCAAAUGUGAGUCCACUGCUCUUUUUUUUAUGCUCAUGAGAAUGCGACUUCCCACGUCCUAAUGUACCCUACACGCAGUCGUGCUCAGUAAAGAGCACUCCCUGUUCGAGUCUCCGGGAGGACAUUGGGACAUAGCAGCCGCCAGGUGGGGCCAGAGGCUCAGAGGUGGACGCCAAGAGUCCCUCAGCUCCUGGCGGACACACAAGGCCCACGCCCCAAUCCUGGUCUGCAGACUUCUGUGCGGUCCAAGAAGAUCUAACAAGAGAUGACGUGGGUCCGUGACCAAGGCGAUGGCAGAGUGUGACAACCAGCUCACCGCCCUUGAGAGGCCUAGCGUGGGCCCCAUGCUCCUUACGGUGCCUGCUGCUGCUUCCGUUUUCCCUGGCAAGGGGGCAUCGUGCAUCCUCAAAGCACACAGGGCAGAAGUGGAAGCUUUCAGGGCCACGGGAAUGUCUCCACGAUCCCAAAAAUUCCCCAUUCUUCUCCCUGGGAAUUCCCCGCCAUGUUGGAGACAGAAAAGGCGCUUAGAUCCAAGGGAUGGGAGAGGCUGGGCUGUUGCUGGCCCUGGCUGGGUGAAGGACCCUGAACUACCAUGCAGAGGCCACCCAAAAAUGAGGGAAACGCUGGGUUCUCCCUGAGGAGGUGCUUGGUUCUCCAGCCAGACAUACUUGGUGCAUCCAGACUGCCUGGAUGUCAGGCCUGGCUCUGCCACUCUGUGUGUGUGUGUGUGUGUGUGUGUGUGUGUGUGUGUGUGUGUGUGUUCACACACAAAUGUAUAGCACUGGAAACAGAACCCAGGCCCUUUGCACUGAACUGUAUCCCCAACACUUUUUGUUUUAUUUAUUAUUUUUUUUAAUUUUAUUUUUUUAUGUAUUUACUUCGUUUUUUUGAGACAGGGUCUUACUAUGCAGUUCAGACUGGCCUUGAGCUCACUUUGCAGUCCAGGCUGGUCUUGAACUCACGAGCAUCUUGCCUCAGCUUCCCAAGUGCUGAGAUUACAGGCAUGCAUCACCACACCCAGCUUUUUAUUUUAUUUUUGAGACUGGAUCUCACUGUAUAGUUCAGGCUGGUCUCAAACUCAAUAUGUAGCUCAAACUGGCCUGGAAUUUAUGGUGAUUGUCUUGCCCCAGCCUACCUAGUGCUGGAAUUAUAGGUGUGCACCACCACGCUCAGCUCACUCUUUAUUUUCAGACUGGGUCUCACAAGUUCAUAAAUUGCCCAGGUUGGGCUCCAAGUUGGGAUCCUCUGGCCUCAGCCCCUCAGAACGCUGAGAUUACAGGUGUGUGCCACUACCCCUGACUUGGGCGCUGCUACUUGGUCACCUGUGAGCUCAUCUGUGUCCAUUCCUAGAAAAGCGUCUGGCAGACGGAAAGCAGGGUAUGAGUGUUGCCUGAUGCUGCCUCCUGCUGGAACUCACUCACUAUUUCUCACAUAGCCUGAUGGGGUAGAGCAGUGUCUGUUAUCUUCGUUUCACAGAUUUGGAAAUUGGUGCUCAGAGAGAGGAGAGGCAGCCAAAGACAAGGAAAGGCUGUUCUGGGUCAAGUUCCCCUCUCCAGGAAGGGACACUAGGUAGCCCGAAGCAGGAACUGAGUAGAAUUGGGAGAAGCAUAGAUACCAUGAACCCCCAAAUGCUGCAGCAGUUCCCCUCCAGGCACUGGGUUUCUGGGCCCAAGAGACACUGGGGUCCUGCUCCAGAGGACAGGCCAGGGCCCACUGGCGGGAAAGUGCCCCUUAAAAGUCAGAGACCUGGGGACCGGUGAUAUGACUCAGCGGCACAGCGCCUGCCUGGCAAGUAUGAGGUCAUGAGUUCAAUUCCUGGACAGGAACCUGGGACCUGGUCCCAGCCUGGCAGCUGAGGGGUCCUGUGACGUCAGUGAUCAGUUUAUGAAGAUUCACUGAGCAUCUACUGUGUGCUGGGCACUGUCUUAGAACAAAGUGACUUCCAUCCUCAUGCAAUGACACUGCAAUGAAGGAAGCAACCACUGUGAGCCAGAGUGGUGGUUGGGAUCUUGUAGUGCCGGCACACAAGACGCUGAGGCAGGAGGAUCACCAUGAGUUCAAGGGCAGUUUGCAUAGCACAGCAAAACACUAUUUCAAACAAACAAACAUCAAAAGAUCUAAAGGAAAAAUAAAAGAUGGAAAACUCUCUGUCCUUACUCCUGAGUUAAAGACAGAUAGCUGGAUAGAUAGAUGAUUUAAAUAGAUAGGGCCUCUAAUAAUAGAAAUCUGUUUGCAAUGUAUGUUCUUAUCUUUGAUCUGUUAAAUUAGAAGCUAGGGUGGAACCAGCAACUAGUGUCUGUUACUGUUGUAAUUGUUUUCAAUAUAGAGAUUGAAGCCAGGGCCUUCCCCAGCCCUUUUUUUUUUUUAUUUUAUUUUUAGGCAACAUCUUGCCAAGUUAUUAAGUUGCCCAGGCUAUUCUCAAUCUUGGAAUCCUUCUGCCUCAGCCUCCCAGAAUGUUGGGAUUAUAGCGUGCAGUACUGUGCCCAGCGCAAUUACAGUUUUUUUGUUUUUUAAGCAGGUCCUCCAAGGGACCCUGAUGCAGCCUGGAGGAAAACUGUCAUAUAAAGUAUUCCAACUGCAUUCAAAUGUAAAGGUCCCCCUGCUAAAUGCAUGGCAGGGGGCUGCAGGAGGAUGAGGGCAUCCUGGGAUCAGACUCCCUGGAACAGGCAGGUUCCACGUCUUCAAGCUGCGUUCUCAGUGCCUGGAAUUCAGUGGCACUUAAAGCAUGAGUCUAAUAAAAGAACACAUAAAUGGUUCUGUAAUCAGGGUUAAAGGAGAACAAGACAAUACAGGACACAUCAUUUAUGUAUUAUUUUAUGAUAGUCAUCCAGAAUCAAACACAAGAAGUGCAGGAAAUCUGUCUGCACACCAAAAACCUAGAAAAUCCAGCCAAGGGCCUGAAAACCAUGGCAAUAACUUGCAUGAAUUCAGCUGAAAACCUAGAGCCUAUGACAAUGCCUCCCAUGAGUCCAACUGGAGGACUAGGGCUAUUUCACGAAUCUGCACCGGGAAGGCCCAACUGUCAGUGGUGGAAGCCAGAGUCUAUGCCAGGGUGAAGAAUCUGUGCCCCUAGGUUGAGGAUUCUGUACUGGAGGCAAGAAGCAAUGCUCAAAAUAAAGACCAGGGCUCUCCUGAAAAGUACCAUGGCCAUCCUCAAUGGCAAUGAGGUCCCAAGCUCCUCCAAUGAUGAAAGCAGCCAAGUUGAUAUCAGGAAGCCAGUGUAACAAAUCUCCUAGAGAUAAAAUAGCACCCAUCUUCCCCUCCAGAGCCAGGAAGCAAUGCUCAAAGUAAAGACCAAAGCUGCCCCAAACUGCAGCCAUUCUCAGGGACAAGGUCCCAAGCUCCUCCAAUGAUAACAGCCAAGUUCAUAUCAGGGAAGCCAGCAUGACAAGCUCCUCCAGGAGAACCAACAGUUCCAAACAACACCAUUAAGAGAACCCACAAGGCUAUACUUCCUUUCCAGGUCUUUUUAUGCUGGCAACUUUCCUCAUGUGGGCCAUCUACAUCCAGCACCACACUGAUAUUUGGGGGGGCGGGCUUUGGGCUGUUUCCAAGAACCACACUGAUUUUGUUCAGCUGGUGUUUAAUGGCAGGUUUUGGGGGGCUGUGGGUAGAAAGAUGGGGCUCGAUAUAUUGUUCAGGAGGCUGGUCUAAACUGGAUUUGAAUGAUCCUGACAGGGAGGCUAACAUGUUAGCCUCCCUGGUAGCCAGGACUGCCCAUUCACUAGGCCAAAGAGGACUCUUCCAAUUCAGUGACCUGGACUUUUGGGACCCAACUGGCUGCCCCAUCAGAAUAAAAUCCCAACCUUUGAUGAGAAACAUAUGUGCAAUAGGAAGGGAGUAAGUCACAUAUUUGCUGAACAAAUGUUUACAAAAUGCAUUCUAUGUGGGAGACAUGUAACAUGCUCAGAAGAAUUUGGGCAAGGUGACCCAUGCCUGUAAUGUCAGCACUCUGAGAGGCUGAGACAGAAGGAUCUCAAGUUUGAGCCCAGUCUAUACAAUUUUACAACUUAGUUAGACCCUAUCUUAAAAUAAAAAAGGACUGAGGACAUAGUUUAGUACAAGACCCUGGUACAUGCUCGUAAGCCCAGGAGUCUGAGGCAGGAGGCUCUUACUUUGAAUUAGAGGCCAGCCUGGGCUACACAGUGAGACCCUGUCUCAAAAAAACCAAAAAUAAAUAAAAAUUUAAAAAUAAAGCAUUGGAGCUGGGGAUUUAGCUCAGCGGCAUAAGCUCCUGCCUUGCUAGCAUGCAGUUGUGAGUUCAAUCCCUGGUACCGAUAAAAAAAUAAAUAAAUAAAAAAUAAAGCAUCAAGGGCCUGGGGAUUUACCUCAGUGGCAUAAGUGCCUGCCUGACAAGUGGGAGUCACGAGUUCGAUCCCAGUUACCAAUAAAUAAAUAAAUAAAUAAAUAAAUAGAUAAAUAACACUCCAUUGCCAGAAAGGUCACAGUCUGCUCACAUUGCUCCUUUCCUAGGGAUGUGUCUCGGAAAAAAUUCACGUGGUCGUUGUGUUCCCUGGAAGACUGGACACAGGUGCUUGAACAGCCUGGCCAUCACCACAGUGCAGGACAAUGGCAGCUCUGUCAAGGCCAAGACUAGUGGCUCUGUCUUAGGUAGUAGGAGCACCCUGCUUCUGGAUCACACAUCUUGACAAUGUAUGGAUCUCCCCUGAACCUGCCAGGGCUGUUGAUGCCUCCAGCACAGCCUGGAACUCUGGCACUAACAGCAAUAACAUCUCCACUCAACUCUGCCAGCGCUUGGACAGAGUUAGGCCAGAAGGCUGGGGGCAACACACUGCCCCUUCCCCAUCCCUUCCUCUAGGCAUCCUGGAUUCCAAAACCAGCUGGGGGCACCCACUCAGGAAGUCCUCUCGGCAGAACAAUGGGCCAGCAUCUGACCGGGCUCCUAGAACUUUGGCCCCAUCAUCAACAGUUUCAUGAAGAAUGGGCAACUACAUACCAAUGUGAUUGGACAAAGGGUGUGAUCUGAUGCUCACACACUGAUCGGGACCCAGCAAGGCCUGUCCAGAUUUCUCUUGACCUCUUUGUGUGGCCUUUCUCUCAGAUGUGAAGGAUCCCUUGGUAAAAGAAGCAGAAGGAAGUUUUAGCUUCUAUAACCUGCCUUGGAGAAAUGGUGUCCUGUUUUGUUGUUAUUGUUUUUUUUUUUUUUUUUUUUUUUUUUGUCUUUUUUGAGACAGGGUCUCACUGUACAGUUAAGGCUGGCCUUGAGCUCACUUUGUAGCCUAGGCUGAGUCUGGAAUUCGUCUGCCUCAGCCUCCUGAGUGCUGGGAUUACAGGUAUGAGCCACCGAGGCCGGCUCUGUUGUUGUUUUGGUGUUAAAAAUGGAACUCAGGACCUCGGGCUUACCAGGCAAGUGCUUGUGCCGCUGGGCUAUAUGCCUCACCCUGAAGUCCUGCAUUUUUUAUAACCUACUUUGGGGGAGAAAGAGUGGGAGACAGGAAAAGACUCAGAGGCCUCACUUGGGAGCCCCUUCAGGCCCCUUUAGUUUGAGCUAUGGAUCAGGCCGAUACACCACACUCCAAGGUAUAUGGUCAGAACCCCAACACAGGGCCACUGGUCUCCCAAUGGCCUUCUCCUCUUACCCACCAGUCACCCUUCCUCAGCUCAGGGCUUGGGGCCCCAGCCUGCCACCAUGCCUCCUCAAUGUGAGCAGCAGCUCUGGUGGCCCUGCCACUUUCAGUGACCUGCCCUCCAGGACUGGCUGAGCUGUGGCGGAUGACCCUGGGCUAAGGGUGGAACCAUGCUUCUCUACAGGAGGAUGUGAGGACCGAGGAGGCCACUGGUAACCAUGAGAAGCUGGAAGCCAGGAGAUUGGGGCCAGAUAGCUGAGGGCUGAGCCAUUCGGACCACAGGGCCGCCUCCCCCCCAACCCUUCACGUAGCCAGGUAGCUCAGAGUCCUCCUCCCAGAUACAGGCCACCUGUGGAGGGUGAGCUCAUCCGUGGCCCCAGCAUCCCCGGGCCCAGAACCCUCACCUCCCCCCAGUGUGGGGGCAGUGACCAGGUGACCCAGGUGCACCUGCUGCCUCCUGGAGUAAACACCAAGGGAAGGCUCAGGGCGAGGGCGGGAGGAGGUGAAACUGGUGCUGGGAGGGAGCAGUGAGUCAUACCUUUGUGCUGUGGCACCAGGGACUGGGGAGUGGGGAAGACUGGGGACAGAUCAGUGGGGGCUGACUCAGGCCCCACACACCCUCCUCCAGAGCUCCCAAAAUGGUCAUGUGGAAACCAUUCCUCCAAGCUCCUUGUGUCAGUGCCCAGAGAGAACAAAUGAUUUAUCUAGGGAGAUACACUGCAAGUUAGUGGUCCCCAGUCUCCUGAACUAGUUGUGUGUUAAAUCCUGGUGUUGGGAUCAGUGGGGUCUCCCUGCUCAGUGGAUCUCUACCCCCUGGCAAAGGCUGGAGAGAGGUCUAUAGUUGCAAUUGUUGCUAGGGUGAAGUAGGUCUCAGAGCUUCCUGGGGUGGGGGCUGUGCUCCCUCUGCCUCGUUGAUGUCAGCUGGGUGUCACUGAUCCCUGGAAGCCCUGCCCAGUGGUGUGACAUCAUGGGACUGGGCCUGCUUUCCAGUGAAGGGCUCCACCCUGCCAGAGAGGUGGAGCAAGCUGUUCUGGGUCAGGUCCGUGCACAAUACAAUCCAGUAGGCAAACAGACUGCAACAUUGACCGAAACUCGAAACUUGGAGACCUCUGUUGCCCACUGCCCACUGCCCCCGAAACCCAGGAUCCCUGGAGCACCUGCCCCAGGCGACUGAGUCAGCUCUCCUCCUGGCUAAAUUAUGAAUAACACAAAGUCAGGUCUUUCCUGACCACACGUAGUAGUACUGUGGUUAAGAGGGUGGAAUUUAGAGAAUUCUGAGUAUCGGGUCAUCCCAGCGUCAUGCUAGCAAAUCUCAGCUUGUCACCACUCAGCUGUGAGACCUGGGCAGGUUCCUGACCUCACUGCAAAUCAGGGGUGAGAAUACUUACCUCAAAGGAUUUGGUGAAGAUUAAAGGCAAUGAAUUGGGUAUCUCAGGCCCAGUCACUGGCAGGUAGCCAUAUGGACUUGAAUUUGCUCUUUUCUUUUUUAUGUGGGGCUGAGGAUCAAACCCAGGGCUCUAACAGGCUGGGCAUUCACUCUGGGUGACACUCUUGGCUCCUUAGGCUCAAGUUUUAUGAAAUCAAACACAAAUAUUACAGAAGUGAAUUUUAAUAAUAAUGAUAAACCAGGUGUGACACGACAGUAUGUAUAUAUACGCAAUCCCAGUUACCUGAGAAGCUAAGGCAGGAAGAUCACACUUUGAGGCCAGACAAGGCAAUCUAGCAAAAUCCUAGGGGCUGGGGAUUUAGCUCAGCGGCAUAAGCGCCUGCCUUAUAAGCAGGCAGUCAUGAGUUCAAUCCCCGGUACCAAUAAAAAUGAAAAAGACAAAAAAGAAAAAAAAAAUCCUGUCUCCACAUUUUUAAAAAAAUUGUAUUUUUUACUUUAAAAAUGUUUUUUGCACAUGCCUGUAAUUGAAGCACUCGGGAGGCUGAGGCAGGAGGAUUACUGUAAGUUAGAGAGACCAGCCUUGGUUACAAAGCGAACUCAAGACCAGCCUGAACUGCAUAACAAGAACCUGUCUCAAAAAGACCAAAAAAAAAAUUUUUUUAAUUUUAUUUAAAGAAGUGAAAAAGCACUGGAGAUAUAGUUCAGUGGGAGAGCACCUCUAGGUUCAAUUCCUAGAACUGCAAAAUAAACUAAUAAUGAACAUAA